CGGGGGAACUGAAACAUCUAAGUACCCCGAGGAAAAGAAAUCAACCGAGAUUCCCCCAGUAGCGGCGAGCGAACGGGGAGCAGCCCAGAGCCUGAAUCAGUAUGUGUGUUAGUGGAAGCGUCUGGAAAGGCGCGCGAUACAGGGUGACAGCCCCGUACACAAAAAUGCACAUGCUGUGAGCUCGAUGAGUAGGGCGGGACACGUGGUAUCCUGUCUGAAUAUGGGGGGACCAUCCUCCAAGGCUAAAUACUCCUGACUGACCGAUAGUGAACCAGUACCGUGAGGGAAAGGCGAAAAGAACCCCGGCGAGGGGAGUGAAAAAGAACCUGAAACCGUGUACGUACAAGCAGUGGGAGCACGCUUAGGCGUGUGACUGCGUACCUUUUGUAUAAUGGGUCAGCGACUUAUAUUCUGUAGCAAGGUUAACCGAAUAGGGGAGCCGAAGGGAAACCGAGUCUUAACUGGGCGUUAAGUUGCAGGGUAUAGACCCGAAACCCGGUGAUCUAGCCAUGGGCAGGUUGAAGGUUGGGUAACACUAACUGGAGGACCGAACCGACUAAUGUUGAAAAAUUAGCGGAUGACUUGUGGCUGGGGGUGAAAGGCCAAUCAAACCGGGAGAUAGCUGGUUCUCCCCGAAAGCUAUUUAGGUAGCGCCUCGUGAAUUCAUCUCCGGGGGUAGAGCACUGUUUCGGCAAGGGGGUCAUCCCGACUUACCAACCCGAUGCAAACUGCGAAUACCGGAGAAUGUUAUCACGGGAGACACACGGCGGGUGCUAACGUCCGUCGUGAAGAGGGAAACAACCCAGACCGCCAGCUAAGGUCCCAAAGUCAUGGUUAAGUGGGAAACGAUGUGGGAAGGCCCAGACAGCCAGGAUGUUGGCUUAGAAGCAGCCAUCAUUUAAAGAAAGCGUAAUAGCUCACUGGUCGAGUCGGCCUGCGCGGAAGAUGUAACGGGGCUAAACCAUGCACCGAAGCUGCGGCAGCGACACUAUGUGUUGUUGGGUAGGGGAGCGUUCUGUAAGCCUGUGAAGGUGUGCUGUGAGGCAUGCUGGAGGUAUCAGAAGUGCGAAUGCUGACAUAAGUAACGAUAAAGCGGGUGAAAAGCCCGCUCGCCGGAAGACCAAGGGUUCCUGUCCAACGUUAAUCGGGGCAGGGUGAGUCGACCCCUAAGGCGAGGCCGAAAGGCGUAGUCGAUGGGAAACAGGUUAAUAUUCCUGUACUUGGUGUUACUGCGAAGGGGGGACGGAGAAGGCUAUGUUGGCCGGGCGACGGUUGUCCCGGUUUAAGCGUGUAGGCUGGUUUUCCAGGCAAAUCCGGAAAAUCAAGGCUGAGGCGUGAUGACGAGGCACUACGGUGCUGAAGCAACAAAUGCCCUGCUUCCAGGAAAAGCCUCUAAGCAUCAGGUAACAUCAAAUCGUACCCCAAACCGACACAGGUGGUCAGGUAGAGAAUACCAAGGCGCUUGAGAGAACUCGGGUGAAGGAACUAGGCAAAAUGGUGCCGUAACUUCGGGAGAAGGCACGCUGAUAUGUAGGUGAAGUCCCUCGCGGAUGGAGCUGAAAUCAGUCGAAGAUACCAGCUGGCUGCAACUGUUUAUUAAAAACACAGCACUGUGCAAACACGAAAGUGGACGUAUACGGUGUGACGCCUGCCCGGUGCCGGAAGGUUAAUUGAUGGGGUUAGCCGCAAGGCGAAGCUCUUGAUCGAAGCCCCGGUAAACGGCGGCCGUAACUAUAACGGUCCUAAGGUAGCGAAAUUCCUUGUCGGGUAAGUUCCGACCUGCACGAAUGGCGUAAUGAUGGCCAGGCUGUCUCCACCCGAGACUCAGUGAAAUUGAACUCGCUGUGAAGAUGCAGUGUACCCGCGGCAAGACGGAAAGACCCCGUGAACCUUUACUAUAGCUUGACACUGAACAUUGAGCCUUGAUGUGUAGGAUAGGUGGGAGGCUUUGAAGUGUGGACGCCAGUCUGCAUGGAGCCGACCUUGAAAUACCACCCUUUAAUGUUUGAUGUUCUAACGUUGACCCGUAAUCCGGGUUGCGGACAGUGUCUGGUGGGUAGUUUGACUGGGGCGGUCUCCUCCUAAAGAGUAACGGAGGAGCACGAAGGUUGGCUAAUCCUGGUCGGACAUCAGGAGGUUAGUGCAAUGGCAUAAGCCAGCUUGACUGCGAGCGUGACGGCGCGAGCAGGUGCGAAAGCAGGUCAUAGUGAUCCGGUGGUUCUGAAUGGAAGGGCCAUCGCUCAACGGAUAAAAGGUACUCCGGGGAUAACAGGCUGAUACCGCCCAAGAGUUCAUAUCGACGGCGGUGUUUGGCACCUCGAUGUCGGCUCAUCACAUCCUGGGGCUGAAGUAGGUCCCAAGGGUAUGGCUGUUCGCCAUUUAAAGUGGUACGCGAGCUGGGUUUAGAACGUCGUGAGACAGUUCGGUCCCUAUCUGCCGUGGGCGCUGGAGAACUGAGGGGGGCUGCUCCUAGUACGAGAGGACCGGAGUGGACGCAUCACUGGUGUUCGGGUUGUCAUGCCAAUGGCACUGCCCGGUAGCUAAAUGCGGAAGAGAUAAGUGCUGAAAGCAUCUAAGCACGAAACUUGCCCCGAGAUGAGUUCUCCCUGACCCUUUAAGGGUCCUGAAGGAACGUUGAAGACGACGACGUUGAUAGGCCGGGUGUGUAAGCGCAGCGAUGCGUUGAGCUAACCGGUACUAAUGAACCGUGAGGCUUAACCU
rnacentral:rRNA from 1 species